AACCUGCCCUUUAGUGGGGGACAACAGUUGGAAACGACUGCUAAUACCCUAUACUCCUUCUUACUAUAAGGUAAGUUGGGAAAGAUUUAUCGCUAAAGGAUGGGGCUUUAUUGUAUCAGCUAGUUGGUGGGGUAAUGGCCUACCAAGGCUAUGACGCAUACCUGGUCUGAGAGGAUGAUCAGGCACACUGGAACUGAGACACGGUCCAGACUCCUACGGGAGGCAGCAGUGGGGAAUAUUGCACAAUGGAGGAAACUCUGAUGCAGCAACGCCGCGUGGAGGAUGACGCAUUUCGGUGUGUAAACUCCUUUUAUAGGGGAAGAUAAUGACGGUACCCUAUGAAUAAGCACCGGCUAACUCCGUGCCAGCAGCCGCGGUAAUACGGAGGGUGCAAGCGUUACUCGGAAUCACUGGGCGUAAAGGAUGCGUAGGCUGGAAAUCAAGUCGAGAGUGAAAUCCAACGGCUCAACCGUUGAACUGCUCUCGAAACUGGUUACCUAGAAUAUGGGAGAGGUAGAUGGAAUUAGUGGUGUAGGGGUAAAAUCCGUAGAUAUCACUAGGAAUACCGAUUGCGAAGGCGAUCUACUGGAACAUUAUGACG
rnacentral:rRNA from 1 species